AGUGAACGCUGGCGGUAGGCCUAACACAUGCAAGUCGAACGGCAGCACAGUAAGAGCUUGCUCUUACGGGUGGCGAGUGGCGGACGGGUGAGGAAUACAUCGGAAUCUACUUUUUCGUGGGGGAUAACGUAGGGAAACUUACGCUAAUACCGCAUACGACCUACGGGUGAAAGCAGGGGAUCUUCGGACCUUGCGCGAUUGAAUGAGCCGAUGUCGGAUUAGCUAGUUGGCGGGGUAAAGGCCCACCAAGGCGACGAUCCGUAGCUGGUCUGAGAGGAUGAUCAGCAACACUGGAACUGAGACACGGUCCAGACUCCUACGGGAGGCAGCGGUGGGGAAUAUUGGACAAUGGGCGCAAGCCUGAUCCAGCCAUACCGCGUGGGUGAAGAAGGCCUUCGGGUUGUAAAGCCCUUUUGUUGGGAAAGAAAAGCAGCAGGUUAAUACCCCGCUGUUCUGACGGUACCCAAAGAAUAAGCACCGGCUAACUUCGU
rnacentral:rRNA from 1 species